rnacentral:rRNA from 1 species
CCUACACGACCGUACCGCAAACCGACACUGGUGCGCGAGAUGAGUAUUCUAAGGCGCUUGAGAGAACUCAGGAGAAGGAACUCGGCAAAUUGACACCGUAACUUCGGAAGAAGGUGUGCCUUUAGUAGGUGAAGUCCCUCGCGGAUGGAGCCCAAUGAGGUUGCAAAGAAUCGGUGGCUGCGACUGUUUAUUAAAAACACAGCACUCUGCAAACACGAAAGUGGACGUAUAGGGUGUGACGCCUGCCCGGUGCUGGAAGAUUAAAUGAUGGGGUGCAAGCUCUUGAUUGAAGUCCCAGUAAACGGCGGCCGUAACAAUAACGGUCCUAAGGUAGCGAAAUUCCUUGUCGGGUAAGUUCCGACCUGCACGAAUGGCGUAACGAUGGCCACACUGUCUCCUCCUGAGACUCAGCGAAGCUGAAAUGUUUGUGAUGAUGCAAUCUCCCCGCGGAAAGACGGAAAGACCCCAUGAACCUUUACUGUAGCUUUGUAUUGGACUUUGAACAGAUCUGUGUAGGAUAGGUGGGAGGCUUUGAAGCAGGGUCGCUAGAUCUUGUGGAGCCAACGUUGAAAUACCACCCUGGUGUGUUUGAGGUUCUAACCUAGGCCCGUAAUCCGGGUUGGGGACAGUGCAUGGUAGGCAGUUUGACUGGGGCGGUCUCCUCCCAAAGUGUAACGGAGGAGUUCGAAGGUACGCUAGUUACGGUCGGACAUCGUGACGAUAGUGCAAUGGCAUAAGCGUGCUUAACUGCGAGACUGACAAGUCGAGCAGAUGCGAAAGCAGGACAUAGUGAUCCGGUGGUUCUGUAUGGAAGGGCCAUCGCUCAACGGAUAAAAGGUACUCUGGGGAUAACAGGCUGAUACCGCCCAAGAGUUCAUAUCGACGGCGGUGUUUGGCACCUCGAUGUCGGCUCAUCUCAUCCUGGGGCUGUAGCCGGUCCCAAGGGUAUGGCUGUUCGCCAUUUAAAGAGGUACGUGAGCUGGGUUUAAAACGUCGUGAGACAGUUUGGUCCCUAUCUUCCGUGGCGCUGCAGAUUUGAGGAAGCCUGCUCCUAGUACGAGAGGACCGGAGUGGACGCACCUCUGGUGUAUCGGUUGUCACGCCAGUGGCAUUGCCGAGUAGCUAUGUGCGGAAGAGAUAACCGCUGAAAGCAUCUAAGCGGGAAACUCGUUUCAAGAUGAGAUCUGCCGGGGCCUUGAGCCCCCUGAAGAGUCGUUCAAGACCAGGACGUUGAUAGGUCGGGUGUGGAAGCGCAGUAAUGCGUUAAGCUAACCGAUACUAAUUGCUCGUGCGGCUUGACCCU